UGUCCAUUUCCUAAUAUUUUCUUGAGCAAAGUAUGGCCUCAUGCUUGCUUUGCUAUUCAGUCCUGGCCCAUCUGGACUCUCAGAUAUCCCUUAUGCAAGAAACUGAUGCUUCAAACAGAACUGAAUGUACACAAAGACUUCACCCCUUUCCUACCACAGGUUGGACCCCUGGAAAUAUCCUUUGGUGAUGCAGGUGCCAGGAGACAGUAGGAAGCCACCUCUCCCCUGCUCCUCUUUGUUCUGUCUCUGGUUCAGCCAAGGCUCUAAGGGAAAUCUAUCCUGAAGUUUCAAAACAGUCUUCCUUGUGUUCUCCCUUGUCGCUCUGAGUUCCCAGAGCAAAGGGUGAACAGUGGUCAUUUGUAGAGUGAUCGGCCUUCAGCAUCACAGUGACAGUAUCUGGAGCCCUGGAGGACAGCCCUGCCUGCCUGUGGGAAGGCAGAGAGCAGGCAGGACCAGGCAACAGCUUUGAUGCCAUUCCUGCUGCCUCCUUUUUCCAUCAGCCACGUGGGACAAGCUCCCCUUUUCUGCUCAAAAAAGUGCCUGGAUCAAGGUUUCGCAGCUACUCUUACCUUUCCAGAGUGCACUAAGGUGUGACUGGUUUUCUCCAAAGGUAACUCAAUGCCUGAGUGGAUCAUUAGGUUCCAGGAUCGCUUGGGAGACACAUGGAAGCCAACAUCCACCUGCCAGCUGUAGAUGGGCUCCAUCCACUUCGAGGCAGCAUCCAGACAGGCACCCAGCAGUGGCAUCUUGUCAAGGGACUGGAGAUCUCCAUCAAAUGAUGGCCACAGACUCCAAACUGUGAAUCCCUAUUCCCGGACUCUGAGCUCCUGAGGUUGAUUUUACCACUUCAAUAUAAGUGAAAAUUAUGUGGAUUGGUGGCAGAAGCAAGUUAUAUGACGAGUGGAGAGGAAUACAUCUCCAGAGCCAGGUUUCUGCUUCAGACAAGGCUGCAGCAGGCGACGGCGCCCGGCUCUCCCGGCAGAGACGGCUACAAUGAAUAACCCAGGAGGCUCUGGUGAGAGGCCUCCAAGGGUGGUUUGGAAGGUGUUUUUCUGAUCAAAAUAUCUUCAGCUGUUUUAUGGUGGCAGGAGCUGCAAGAUUUGUGUAUGAGACACCCAUCUUCAAGCCUAAGAGCAUUUCUUUUCCCAGAAUAGCUGCUUCCAGAAAUCUCCAGGUUUUGAUCCUUUGGCCAUUUCAUGGAACUCCAUGUAUCCUGCAGCUGGCUGGAGUGAUAAGACAUGACCAGUGCCCAUCCUGUUCUGUGUGCUCUGGUGUUGGC